rnacentral:rRNA from 1 species
UUUACCAAAAACAUAGCCCCCGAAUAAAUCGGAGGUGCCACCUGCCCAAUGGCUCUUAAUUUAGUAGUUUUAAAAUGUCUGUAAGAGAGCUCAAAGGAUGCGGUAUCUUGACCGUAGUAAUGUAGCAUAAUCAUUCGCCAUUUAAUUGAUGGAUAGUAUGAAUGGUAAAACGAGUACAACACUGUCUCAAGUAAAGGACUGAUAAAAUUAAGAAAAUAGUCAAGACGCUAUUUAAAACUGUAAGACGAGAAGACCCUAUAGAGCUUAACUAUUGGCUCUUUGUAAAAUAAAAACUAGUUUUAACCACAAAGAGUCAGGUAGUUUAGUUGGGGCGACUACUUUCUAAAUAUAACGAAAGUAAACAAAGUUAAUUUUUUUAACUUACUGUAUAAAAAAUAAAUUUAACAGUUAUAAACAUAGGUAAUAAUGACCCGCCACUUUGGUAAAAAUAGAGUGACGAUCAAUAAAUAAAAGCUACCUUAGGGAUAACAGGGUAAUCUUGUUCUAGAGAUCUUAUCGAAUACAAGGUUUGCCACCUCUAUGUUGAAUUAAGACAUCCUAGGAGUGCAGAAGCUCCUGAGGGUAGGUCUGUUCGACCUAUAAAGUCUUACAUGAUUUGA